AAGUGCUUGGUCGAGAUUGUAAGAUACAUUUAACAAUGACCUCAAAUCAGGCAAGAAUACCCGCUGAAUUAAGCAUAUCAAUAAGCGGAGGAAAAGAAACUAACAAGGAUUCCCCUAGUAACGGCGAGUGAAGAGGGAAGAGCUCAAAUUUUAAAUCUGCCUUGUUUCAAGGUCGAGUUGUAAUUUGAAGAAGCGUUUUCUUGGGCUCGCGGCCGGUAGAAGUUCUUUGGAACAGGACAUCAUAGAGGGUGACAAUCCCGUCUGCGACCGGUCGUGUGUUCAUCUACGAUACGCUUUCAAAGAGUCGAGUUGUUUGGGAUUGCAGCUCCAAAUGGGUGGUAAACAUCACCUAAGGCUAAAUAUUGGCGAGAGACCGAUAGCGAACAAGUACCGUGAGGGAAAGAUGAAAAGAACUUUGAAAAGAGAGUUAAACAGUACGUGAAAUUGUUGAAAGGGAAACGAUUGAAGUCAGUCGUGCUGGCGCGAAAUCAACCCUCUCGUCGAGAGGACACAUGGCGUGGCGAGCCUCAAAACCGUCACGAAGCGUGAACUCUUGGCGAAAAGGAGCACUUUCGUGUCCGCUGGUUAACAUCAAUUUCGAACGUCAUAAAAAGGCUGGAGGGAUGUGGCUCCUUCGGGAGUGUUAUAACCUUUAGCGGAAUGUGGUGGUCGGGAUUGAGGAUUGCAACGAAUACCUUUAGGGCUGUUCCACCUGGCCUCUCUUUGGUAUCCUGGUGACGACAGCUUGCUGACGUUGUUAGGAUUCGCCAUUGAACAGGCUAGAGUGUGAGCAAAUUCGUUAAGGAUGUUAACGUAAUGGCUUUAAACGACC
rnacentral:rRNA from 2 species